CCGCCGGCCGCUGCCUGACACGCCGCGCGGCCCUCCAGUCUCCCGCGGUCGCCUCCCCCAGGCAUGGCACAGGGCCUCGCCUCACUAUGGCAGCAGCACGGCACAGCACGCUCGACUUCAUGCUCGGCGCCAAAGCUGAUGGUGAGACCAUUCUAAAAGGCCUCCAGUCCAUUUUCCAGGAGCAGGGGAUGGCGGAGUCGGUGCAUACCUGGCAGGACCACGGCUAUUUAGCAACCUACACAAACAAAAAUGGCAGCUUUGCCAACUUGAGAAUUUACCCACAUGGAUUGGUGUUAUUGGACCUUCAGAGUUACGACAGUGAUGCACAGAGCGAGGAAGAAAUUGACAGUCUUUUGAACAAAGUUGAAGAAAAAAUGAAAGAAUUGAACCAGGACGGUACUGGGCGGGUGAAGCGAUUACCACCCAUAGUUCGAGGAGGGGCCAUCGACAGAUACUGGCCCACCGCUGAUGGGCGCCUGGUUGAAUACGACAUAGAUGAAGUGGUGUAUGAUGAAGAUUCGCCUUAUCAGAACAUUAAAAUUCUACACUCAAAGCAAUUUGGAAAUAUUCUCAUCCUUAGCGGGGAUGUCAAUUUGGCAGAGAGUGACUUGGCAUAUACCCGGGCCAUCAUGGGCAGUGGCAAAGAAGAUUACACUGGCAAAGAUGUACUGAUUCUGGGAGGUGGAGACGGGGGCAUAUUAUGUGAAAUAGUCAAACUGAAACCAAAGAUGGUCACUAUGGUAGAGAUUGACCAAAUGGUGAUUGAUGGAUGUAAGAAACACAUGCGAAAAACGUGCGGUGAUGUCUUAGACAAUCUUAAAGGAGACUGCUAUCAGGUUCUGAUAGAAGACUGCAUUCCAGUACUGAAGAGGUACGCCAAAGAAGGGAGAGAGUUUGAUUAUGUGAUUAAUGAUUUGACGGCUGUUCCAAUCUCCACGUCUCCAGAAGAAGAUUCCACAUGGGAGUUUCUCAGACUGAUUCUUGACCUCUCGAUGAAAGUAUUGAAACAGGAUGGGAAAUAUUUCACACAGGGGAACUGCGUCAAUCUGACAGAAGCCCUGUCGCUCUAUGAAGAACAGCUCGGGCGCCUGUAUUGUCCUGUGGAAUUCUCAAAGGAGAUCGUUUGUGUCCCUUCAUACUUGGAAUUGUGGGUAUUUUACACUGUGUGGAAGAAAGCUAAGCCUUGAAGAUGAAUAUCCCCAAUCAUGUGUGCUGCAAAUAACCUUCCUGACCUCC